GCCCGGGUGGCGGAACUGGCAGACGCAUUGGACUUAAAAUCCAAUGGGGCGUUGCCCCGUGUGGGUUCGAUUCCCACCCCGGGCACCA
rnacentral:tRNA from 3 species